GACGUAGGGCGCGAGCGUUGUCCGGAUUUAUUGGGCGUAAAGAGCUCGUAGGCGGCUUGUCGCGUCGUUCGUGAAAACCUGGGGCUCAACCCCAGGCUUGCGGUCGAUACGGGCAGGCUGGAGUCCGGUAGGGGAGACUGGAAUUCCUGGUGUAGCAGUGAAAUGCGUAGAUAUCAGGAGGAAUACCGAUGGCGAAGGCAGCCCCCUGGGUCGAUACUGACGCUCAUGCACGAAAGCGUGGGGAGCAAACAGG
rnacentral:rRNA from 1 species